rnacentral:rRNA from 1 species
UACGUAGGGGGCAAGCGUUAUCCGGAUUUACUGGGUGUAAAGGGAGCGCAGGCGGCAGGGCAAGUCUGAUGUGAAAACCCGGGGCUCAACCCCGGGAUUGCAUUGGAAACUGUUCAGCUUGAGUGUCGGAGAGGUAAGCGGAAUUCCUAGUGUAGCGGUGAAAUGCGUAGAUAUUAGGAGGAACAUCAGUGGCGAAGGCGGCUUACUGGACGAUAACUGACGCUGAGGCUCGAAAGCGUGGGGAG